rnacentral:lncRNA from 1 species
UAAAAAAAUCAAACAAAAUACUCUUCUAUCAACAAGAAUUCUUGUUGUCCUAAUUUCUAAACCACAAUCCCAAAUGUACAAUAUUUAUCUACAAAAAUGAAAACUUUCCUAAAAUAGAAUUUUUGAAAAAAUUAUUUAAAAAAAUACAAUAUAUUGAUAAAAAAAUCAAACAAAAUACUCUUCUAUCAACAAGAGUUCUUGUUGUCCUAAUUUCAAAACCACAAUCCCAAAUGUACAAUAUUUAUCUACAAAAAUGAAA